rnacentral:lncRNA from 1 species
UUCAUUUUUCAUUCUCUUGGUCUUCUUCACUAACUCUAGCGCUUUUUAUCUCUAUAAUCCUCUCACCUCUGAAAAUCAUACCUAUGGUUAUUUUUGUGUUCUAUAUCAAAUCUUGGCCUUAAUUUGUAGCCUUUAGUCUACUGUGAAGUCCGACUGUAGUGUUGGUUGUGUAUAAUGUUCUUGACGAGAUAUUUUGGGGCCUUUUGGGUCGGAUUUGAACUGUAUAAGGACAUUACUACACUUUAGUCUGGGUCUUGCAUCGAAAAGGUAUAGGUUAUUGCGAAAUCUAUUAUAGAUCGAAGAUCUAUUCUUAAUUUGAAGGUCCGAUUGUUGUAGUCCAAACUUUUGCUCUUUCUUAAGAAGUUCUUGCACAUAGUGAUGGGUUCUUACCUCUGAGCCCCUAGAGUAGGCUUUUGCCGAACUCGGUGACCAUUCUUGCGUUGAUAUUUUACUAUUUUGUGCUUGGUGGUUUCAAUUUGUGUGAUUAUUUCGUGUAUUGGUCGAAAAGCCCAACAAACUAGUAUCAAAGUCUCGUAAGGCGUAGGUAAGGCAUUUGCGAAUUUGAUUUAAGUAUUAUCAUAUUGAUGUGGUUUUGAUCUAUACAGUUCAAUAACUCGAAUUGAACGGAGUUUCCUGGAAGCUAGGGUUUGGUGUUCCAGUUCUGUAAUAAGCACUGGAGUUGGAUUUAAUGUUAUUAAUACACUAUAUUUUGGUGAGGCUGUUCCAAUUACAUUUCCAGCAUCUGAUUAGCAGGAGUUAAAUAGUAAAUGUGAAU